rnacentral:rRNA from 1 species
UACGGAGGGUGCAAGCGUUAUCCGGAUUCACUGGGUUUAAAGGGUGCGUAGGUGGGUUGGUAAGUCCGUGGUGAAAUCUCCGAGCUUAACUCGGAAACUGCCGUGGAUACUAUCAAUCUUGAAUACUGUGGAGGUAAGCGGAAUAUGUCAUGUAGCGGUGAAAUGCUUAGGUAUGACAUAGAACACCGAUAGCGAAGGCAGCUUGCUACACAGUCAUUGACACUGAGGCACGAAAGCGUGGGGAGCAAACAGG